rnacentral:rRNA from 1 species
UGCACGCCUCGGUACUCUCACAUACAAUCCAUCUCACCCCUCUUGUGCAUCACCGCGAUGGAGGCCCCUUUUGGCUAGUUCUAAAGGGGGUUUUCGCGUUUUUAUACAUACACCGUUUUUAAUGCAAUGCGUAGAAUGUCAUACUUUUGCGAUCACACGCAAUUAAUACAACUUUCAACAACGGAUCUCUUGGCUCUCGCAUCGAUGAAGAACGCAGCGAAAUGCGAUACGUAAUGUGAAUUGCAGAAUUCAGUGAAUCAUCGAAUCUUUGAACGCACCUUGCGCCCUUUGGUAUUCCGAAGGGCACACCCGUUUGAGUGUCGUGACAUCCUCAAACCUUCUUGGUUUCUUGACCAGGAAGGCUUUGGACUCUGGAGGUUUUUGCUGGCCUUACUUUGUUGAAGCCAGCUCCUCUAAAAUGGAUUAGUGGGAUCUGCUUUGCGGAUACUUGACGGUGAUAAGAUAUUUCUACGUCUUGGAUCUUCGCACUGUUCACCUCUGGAUCCUGCUUCUAACCGAUCUCAUAGAAGACAAAUGGGUUAAGGUGAUCGGCCACUUUGAGCCUACAAACCUUGACCUCAAAUCGGGGGGAGACUACCCGCUGAAACUUAACC